CUGUAGUUGUGGUCUCUGCUGAUAUUCUUUCUGAAGUCAUAGGCAGUGUUGUUGAAGUAACAGUUGUGGUUUCAGUCCUCACAACUGUGCUUGAGGGACUUUCAGUAGUUGAGUGUGCUGUAGUUACUGAUGUUGUUAUAGGUGCAGUUGUUUCUGAAGAUGUAACCAUAGUUGUUGAAGUAAGAUUUGUGAAUUCUGAAGUUACAGCUCUUGAUGUUGUUGGAUCGUUUGUUGUUGUAGAUGUGGUUGAUGAAGCUGUAGUCAUGGGUUCCGAUCUUGUACUUUCUGAAGUUGUAGGCAAUGUUGUUGAAAUAAAUGUUGUGGAUUCUGGAGUUACUGGUGUUGAUGUUGUUGGAUCGUUUGUUGUUGUAGAUGUGGUUGAUGAAGCUGUAGUUGUGGUCUCUGCUGUUGUUCUUUCUGAAGUCACAGGCAGUGUUGUUGAAGUAAUAGUUGUGGUUUCAGUCCUCACAACUGUGCUUGUGGGACUUUCAGUAGUUGAGUGUGCUGUAGUUACUGAUGUUGUUACA
ensembl:lncRNA